rnacentral:rRNA from 1 species
AUGAACGCUGGCGGCGUGCUUAACACAUGCAAGUCGAACGGAAAGGCCCAAGCUUGCUUGGGUACUCGAGUGGCGAACGGGUGAGUAACACGUGGGUGAUCUGCCCUGCACUUCGGGAUAAGCCUGGGAAACUGGGUCUAAUACCGGAUAGGACGAUGGUUUGGAUGCCAUUGUGGAAAGUUUUUUCGGUGUGGGAUGAGCUCGCGGCCUAUCAGCUUGUUGGUGGGGUAAUGGCCUACCAAGGCGUCGACGGGUAGCCGGCCUGAGAGGGUGUACGGCCACAUUGGGACUGAGAUACGGCCCAGACUCCUACGGGAGGCAGCAGUGGGGAAUAUUGCACAAUGGGCGCAAGCCUGAUGCAGCGACGCCGCGUGGGGGAUGACGGCCUUCGGGUUGUAAACUCCUUUCGCUAGGGACGAAGCGUUUUGUGACGGUACCUGGAGAAGAAGCACCGGCUAACUACGUG